UUCAGGGGCGGGAGCUUUGAAGCAAGAAAUGGACAGGUUUUCAGGAAGAAUGACUAGGGGGCUUCUGACUUCCUCAUGACUUCUGCCUCUGGAGUGAGUGGCAGCAACAGGGAAAGAGGUGGAUGGCCCCUGUGUACAUGAGGGAAGUGAAUGAGUCCCCUUAAAGGAGAAAAUGCUCUGAAGUUGACAACUGCUACAGACAAGUCUGUCAACCACCUUCCAACACACUCAGGUUCACUUUGGAUGCCAUGCUAAGUGGAGACUGAAGUACAAGCAGGGAGCCCAGUUGGAAGGCCAUUGCAAUAAUCUCAGAGAGAAAUGAUGGAGCAAAAUGGAGGAGGAUUCCACAAACCUGAGCAACUUGGGUGACUCAGCACAGGACAAGAUGCAGAGAAGAGUGGCACAAGAGAUCUAUUGCUUUUAUGUUCCUCCUAACACAAGAGAUACUUUGGGGGAAAUGGCCUCUUCAUGAACUCCACUCUGAGUUUCCUGUAGAAGCAGGCAUACUUUCACAUGAUCCCUCUGAGCUGUUCUGAACUAUUGUUGUCUGGGAGUGAACAUGUUGAUCUACAUAGAGGAGUCCCUUCCCUAGGGCUUCUGAAGCUCAAUAAUUGCUUUCUCAAUGAGUGAUACAUGCCGCAAUA